UGUCAGCAAAAUGUCUCUUAGUCCCUUCAGAGAAGGAACUCUGGCACCUUCCGUACUUUUUGGGGUGGGAUAAAAGCAAUUCCUCUUACUCACUUUGCCCAGCUGUCAAGACAUUCUACUCUCCUCUGAUGUAAAUGACCAGGUGCGGCUAACGCCGAGAGAAAUCCUAAAGGUCACCCUCUAGUUCUUCAUGGCCAGUUUUCAAAGCGUGCUUUGGUGUGAAAGCCAGAUGCCGUUCUGUGAAUGUGACAGGGCCUUAGCAGUAGUGCUAUUCUCCUCCCCCUCCCCCCAUCACAGAGACCUGGACCAGGUCUUCUCACACACCCCCUCCUCACCCCCUCCCCCACCCCCGCCCCGGGCGGUGCUCAGCACCCGUGUCUCCUAUGUCUCGGUGCCCAGCAGGGAAGGCGAUUUCCAUCUUUGAAAUUUGGAGAUAAACACGAGUAACUCUUUCUCUCUCCCUGAAGGGUUAACACUCGAACCAGCUUCAGAUUGGUUCACUUGAAUCUUAAAAUUACUUUUCUGGUCACGCUCUCUGAAGGUCUAGGCAUUUGUAAAAUGUCUUUUUUAUCCCCUUUCUCUGAUGCUGUCUCCUUUGGCUGUCUUAAUUACACGGGGCUGAGAAACCAAAUUAAAAUUAGGCGUGGCUGGCGAGCAGUGAGCACGCUGCAUGCCUUUAGCUUUGCUUGUUGGGGUUACUUUCCUCGCUGUGCUGCUUUCUCUCUCCCCCCCCCCCCCCCCCCCAAAAAAAAGGAAAUAUCAUAAGCUCUUUUAGAAAUACUCACAGGAAGUGAGUAUCCACAUGCUGGUUCCUCGCCAGUAACUGAGCGUUGACAGGUGGAGAAUGGGGCUGCAGCCCGCCCCGAUUUCUCUGAACCGCCCCCCCAAGGAUUUACUCCAGGGCAUAGGGGCCGAGGGAGUCAGAGGAAAUGGGUCACAGCGUGUGAUCUGGAGACGGUGAUUCAGGAGCCCCGAUGGGGUCCGGGGGCACGUGGCUGCCCUCUCUGAGGUUUUUGCUCACUUCUCAGAGGCCGGGCUGCCUUCUAAAAAUUCAUGCUCGCCCCACCGCCAACAACGAUUCUUUUGCAAUGAAUCACUUCCAGAAAUGAAUAGCCACAGUUUUUUGGAAUGACUGUUGUGAAAUCCCUCGUUUAUAAUGGCAGGUUUUCAGUUGGUGGUUUUAUCAGAGGAGAAUUUCUCAAGAUCAAAACGAAACCUCCUCUUUAAAAAGAAAGAAAGUACUGGCUAGACAGAAAGCAAAAGUGUUCCCAGCGUCCUGCCGAGGAGCUGUCACGGAGGACCUCUGGACCUUUGUUGAGAGACGUGCCCAUGUGUUUGCCGGAAUAUAUAUGUAUUUAUUUGUGUGAGUUCUUGGAAUUAUGGAUUCUUUGCUGGUAGACGGUGAUUUCCUGUGUAGAAGGUCACUGGCUACGAGAGACGCUCCACGGGGAAUUGAGAAAACAACCUAGUGGUUUUCAUUGUGAGUCCUGGAGGAUUCCAGAAUCCGUGUGUCUGCAGAGAGGAUGAGCUGGAGGCCGGCGGGUGGCCACUCGCUGUCUCUGCUCGCCUGCUCUCCCGAAUGAACCCACUGCUUCCUCCCGGCCGGCCGGCCCGCGCCCGGGCACCCUCUGUGUGCGUCUCGGUGGAAACACUCUGAUCUGCAAGGAGAGGCGUCCAAGUCAGAAGGAAGCGUUCUCUGUGGUUGCGAGGUGGGAGGACAGAGCCGGGGACACGGAGGAAGGGUGGAGAAGACAUGUGACUAAUAUGAAAUGGAGAUACAAUAGUAGCUAACAUCACCAGCACCUCCAAGCAGAGACCCCAGGAUCCCUCAGCAUCCCACCACAUGUACUUUGAAGCACACUGUGAAGUCCCCAGAGGCCUGCAGACGCAGCGUUCAGCAGCUGGGAGUUCUCCUCGUGCAUAUAAUGAACUCGCUUUUCUUCCUUGUUUCUUUCCCAUUGUGUGUGUGACCAAAUUAGGUAGGUCAGCAAGUCAUCUGAGCUCCAGAAAUAUAAUGUAUAAGAUUGCACCAAACUGGGAAGUUGAUUCUCCAUUAGCAGAAGAAAUUUGGUGAGAAUAGAUACAUCUAUUGAGUAUUAAAAAAAACAAAAACAAAAAAACACUGUUUUUAAAAAUGGUUGCUCUCAUUGCCCUUCCACUAAAUUGAAGUCAAUACUGGAAUGCUGUUGUGGAAAAAAAUAUACAUGAUUUUGGGUGUAUUGAAAGGAAUGUGACAUAAAAGGGUAUGAGAAU